GCCUCUAUGGCACAGGGGUAAUGCGUGUCACUCGUAAUGACAAGAUCCGCGGUUCGAUUCCGCGUGGAGGCA